UGCAGUCGAGCGGUAGAGAGAAGCUUGCUUCUCUUGAGAGCGGCGGACGGGUGAGUAAGGCCUAGGAAUCUGCCUGGUAGUGGGGGAUAACGUUCGGAAACGGACGCUAAUACCGCAUACGUCCUACGGGAGAAAGCAGGGGACCUUCGGGCCUUGCGCUAUCAGAUGAGCCUAGGUCGGAUUAGCUAGUUGGUGGGGUAAUGGCUCACCAAGGCGACGAUCCGUAACUGGUCUGAGAGGAUGAUCAGUCACACUGGAACUGAGACACGGUCCAGACUCCUACGGGAGGCAGCAGUGGGGAAUAUUGGACAAUGGGCGAAAGCCUGAUCCAGCCAUGCCGCGUGUGUGAAGAAGGUCUUCGGAUUGUAAAGCACUUUAAGUUGGGAGGAAGGGCAGUUGCCUAAUACGUAACUGUUUUGACGUUACCGACAGAAUAAGCACCGGCUAACUCUGUGCCAGCAGCCGCGGUAAUACAGAGGGUGCAAGCGUUAAUCGGAAUUACUGGGCGUAAAGCGCGCGUAGGUGGUUUGUUAAGUUGGAUGUGAAAUCCCCGGGCUCAACCUGGGAACUGCAUUCAAAACUGACUGACUAGAGUAUGGUAGAGGGUGGUGGAAUUUCCUGUGUAGCGGUGAAAUGCGUAGAUAUAGGAAGGAACACCAGUGGCGAAGGCGACCACCUGGACUGAUA
rnacentral:rRNA from 1 species